GGUUGUGAUCAUUGUUCAGCAUUCAAGGGCGGAUCUGCAUGAGUAGGUGCAAGUUAAUGGGCGUACCGGUACUCUAACUAGGGUGUAUACUGGGUAGUCGAGCGAGUACUGAUUGACCUUUGAUUAUAGAUGACACUAUGUUCUAUACAUUGGUUCGCAUGCAAGACUGCUCUGGCUGCAUGCAAGACUGACUUAACAAUCUGUAUUUUACUCAUUUAUAUAAUACCUUGCGUAUAGCCGAGCCCAAGUGCACAUGCCCUCCUGAUAUAGCUGAAGAAGUCAAGGCUGCAAUUGGUUCUUUCGUACCACUCUACCAGUAUUUAGGAUCAGGUCAUGGUGCUAAUCAUUUCUACACUACCUCUCCAGAUGAGGUUGGAACUACCAUCCCUGGUCAAAUAGGUAAACAUGGUUUCAAGAGUGAAGGAAUUGCUGCUCACAUUUAUGCUGCUCCAGCUGUUGUUCCACUUUACAGAUAUUACAAUGGAGGAAUACAAGAUAGUCUCUAUACAGCAAACUUCAACGAGUUAAGAUGUGAAGCUGCUGGUUGGAAAUAUGAAGGCAUUCAAGGAUAUUGCUUCAAGAAUUCUUUGCCUGGCAUCAAUCGCCCUUUGUACCGAUACUGGAGUGAUAAUGCUAAUGAUCAUUUUUACACAACAAAUGAAUCUGAGAUUGGAACAACAACCAUUGGAGUUACAGGGAAUCAUGGUUAUAGAUUUGAAGAUAUAGUCUGCUAUGUUGUAUAAUGGAACCAUUGAAACUAGCACAAACAAUAGUAGAGAAACAUUUUCUUUAUUUUUUUUGUAGCGUCACAAUGAGUUUUUAUGCAUGAGAAUAAGAGGAAAAAUAAUAAUAAUAAUCAUACUAAUACAUUUUAAUUGAGUUGCUAAUAAUUUGAA